CAACCACUGACUUAGCUGAUAGUUCUCACAUCAUUUCAGCGUAUCCAGAGUGUCUAAGCACAGAAACCGGUAGACAUAAUGUUGACAGUAAUCACUGUCCUGCCACAAUCAGUGAUGUGUUUUUUGAAAAAGAAAGAUCUGAUUCUCCAUCUUGCCCAAGUCUCACCAUUAGCACUGAUCCAGAGCCAUGUAAGAUUCAUAGUAGCAACAUUCAGUGUUCAGCCCCUGUACUGAUUUCAAUGGAACUUUCUGAAUGUUCUGCUUCCCCACAUGCAGGAGUGGGCAAGUGCCAAGGCCAAAGUAGUUUCCCGAAUACAGUACACCACAUAGAAAUCAAGACCAGUUCAAGUCUGUUCUGUGCUGCAGAUCAACCAUCUACUAAACAUGAGGAGCCCUCUGACUGUUCUGAUGAUGUUAACUAUUUAGAUCAGUCUCUUGAAGAACUUGCCACCAUUACCACCACUCACAACAAAGGUAUCACUGCAAACCUGGGACAAAAACUGCACACAUCUCUCAUGAAAGAAAACUACAUUCACCCAGAAUCAAAUGCUGUGGGCGACAGGAAUAGCCUGUCCCAGAAAGCGGCCCAUCCACCUCUCUCCCAGUGUUCUCUGAACUCCAUCCCUGAGUUGUUGAUCUCUGAGUGGAAGGACUUGGAUGAGGAGCCUCUGGAGGAUUUUGAAAAACUGGAGCAACUGUGCUGCAUUUCUGGGGAUGAAGAGACCCUUGGAGAUCUGUUUUUAGGAAACUUAGAUCUGCUUGAAUCUUUGAAGAGAAAUCCAGAGCAAAGAACGAGUUGUGGCAUAAUAAAUCAUCAUGACUCAGCAGAUGCAGAGGGGAAGACAAGAGUCGAGCUAAAAGAAGAAGUUGACGGGAUAUCGAAAAGUACCGAAAACAUUUCUCCAAAUUUCCCAGGAGAAGCUCAGCAGUCAGUGGAGAAGAGAAUGGGGAAACAUGUGCCAGCGCCUUUCUCACCAUGCAAUUCUACCGAUGGUUCCAAAGGGCAGAGGUCACUCUCAAAAAUGCAGGCAAAAAAUGGAUUGAUGAUGCAGGUUUGUGAGGAAAGACUUCAGUACUCUCUCAGUGAAAAUGUUAAAACCAAUGUCCUGUGGGGGUCUACAGU
ensembl:lncRNA